AAAGAAAGGCAGAGCCUGGGAAUUAGUAUUUCUGCAGAAGCAGUGGUUUGAAAACCAUUGAAUGAAGACUGUUAGCCACACUGACUUUUAUUUAAAAACAAAGAUUUCACCUUUUUUUCUUUUAAGGUGCUGAUGAACUCUUGAUCCUAUUGAAGCUGUUCUCAAAACAUUCUAUUGACUUCAUUCAUGCAGAGCUAAAUAGCACAUUAGAAGACUGAAAGGGGCCCUGGAAUGACACACAAUGGUGGAAAUGGGAGAGAGAGAAAAGGUGACACAAAAAUCUAAAGUCUACAGGCCAAAUACAGCUCUCUCUUACUCUUGUGGAAUCCUACUGACUCCGAUAUAUAUCAGCUGUCUUCAGUGGAGAAACUGAAGGAUAUGCUUCUGCAAUUGCAAGAGAAUCAACAAAUCUAUUCAUAAUAUUUUGCCCAAAAGACCCAGCAUGUUUUCCUGCAGGUGAGUUGGUACUGGAUUUGAGA
rnacentral:lncRNA from 1 species